rnacentral:rRNA from 1 species
AGAGUCUGAUGGAGCAACGCCGCGUGAGUGAAGAAGGUUUUCGGAUCGUAAAACUCUGUUGUUGGAGAAGAACGUAUUUGAUAGUAACUGAUCAGGUAGUGACGGUAUCCAACCAGAAAGCCACGGCUAACUACGUGCCAGCAGCCGCGGUAAUACGUAGGUGGCAAGCGUUGUCCGGAUUUAUUGGGCGUAAAGCGAGCGCAGGCGGUUUCUUAAGUCUGAUGUGAAAGCCUUCGGCUCAACCGAAGAAGUGCAUCGGAAACUGGGAAACUUGAGUGCAGAAGAGGACAGUGGAACUCCAUGUGUAGCGGUGAAAUGCGUAGAUAUAUGGAAGAACACCAGUGGCGAAGGCGGCUGUCUGGUCUGUAACUGACGCUGAGGCUCGAAAGCAUGGGUAGCAAACAGGAUUAGAUACCCUGGUAGUCCAUGCCGUAAACGAUGAGUGCUAGGUGUUGGAGGGUUUCCGCCCUUCAGUGCCGCAGCUAACGCAUUAAGCACUCCGCCUGGGGAGUACGACCGCAAGGUUGAAACUCAAAGGAAUUGACGGGGGCCCGGCACAAGAA